AUUGUAGCCUGGAUACUUCAUCUC
rnacentral:siRNA from 1 species